AUGCUUGCUUGGACAGCCUGUAUGCUAAAAUUGGAACAAUAUAGAGCAGAUUAGCAUGACAACUGUGCAAGAAUGA
rnacentral:snRNA from 1 species